rnacentral:rRNA from 1 species
CCUACGGGAGGCAGCAGUGAGGAAUAUUGGUCAAUGGUCGGGAGACUGAACCAGCCAAGCCGCGUGAGGGAUGAAGGUACAGAGUAUCGUAAACCUCUUUUGUCAGGGAACAAAGGCGGGGACGCGUCCCCGGAUGAGUGUACCUACAUAAGAAGCCCCGGCUAACUACGUGCCAGCAGCCGCGGUACUACGUAGGGGCCAAGCGUUAUCCGGAAUUAUUGGGUGUAAAGGGAGAGUAGGCGGAAAGGUAAGCGAUAUGUGAAAGCCUUAGGCUUAACCAAAGGAUUGCAUAAAGAACUAUCUAGCUAGAGUGCAGGAGAGGAAAGCGGAAUUCCUAGGGUAGCGGUGAAAUGCGUAGAUAUUAGAAAGAACACCAGUGGCGAAGGCGGCUUUCUGGACUGAAACUGACGCUGAGGCUCGAAAGCGUGGGGAGCGAACAGGAUUAGAUACCCGUGUAGUC